GUUUUGUUGUUUUCUGCUUCUAUAUGUAUGUUUGUUUUUCUUGUGUUUCUAAAUUUUAUUUAUUUUUUCUUGUUUCCUCUCAGCUGGAGGAGGCUGACAGAAGGUUUUGUUCUUUCUCUCCGGGUUCCAGUCUCCCAUAUAUCGAUACAUUUCUAAUGAUGAGAUCUAUUGUUCCCACAGAGCAAGGCAAAGCUGUAUUAGGAUGAAGUUGCAUGUCAACAGAAGAUUUUGGUGAAUCCUUGUUACAGGAUGGAUAAGUAUAAGCUGUAUCACAGUAGGGAUGGGGGAGACAGGCAAUAAGUCCAGAAGAUACUGCAAAUAAGGGAGAACAUUAGAAAGAUUAGCGUCUACAUUUUAAUGAUCUUUCUAUUCCUCCAAGGUGUCCGGAAUCACAGCGGCAGUGGUUUAAGCAAAGCAGGUAGUCAGGAAAAACGGGAUGCACUUACAGCCCUUCUGGGAGAAGUCGGAACUGGAUUGAGGGUAUGGAAUUCAGCAGAUAUCAUUGGACUUAGCAGGUUAAACUUCCUAACUGUUGGCAUGAGACAUGCUUUGAAAAUAGGUGGGGUAACUGACAGACAAUGGGGAUGACAUAUAUCCCACAACCUACAUCUGGUGGAGGAGAAUAUUGCUUCCAUUGCUAACAGCAUUAAGAAUGACAUAGUGGGAACUGCCAUUUUUUGUUCUGUUGGCAGAUUUAAAGAACACUAUUAAAAAGGACUAUUUUACCAAUGUAGAGACACAUCCAGUUCUCCUAACUCUGUCGCUUGUACUCAUGCUCAUUCAAGUAUUAACAACAGUUAUAAUACUAUAAUUUAUGUGGAAAUUAAACAGACAAGGAAGAAAAUUGCAAGGAUAUUUGAUAUUUAAAUGUUUUUUGUUUCUUCUCUCUCUCCAACAUACAUUGUUCAAUAUAGUUUUACAUUGCAUAUACACAAACAUUCUUUUGGGUAAGCAUCACACACAAUCACCUAAAUUCUAUUACUAAUGCUUUAAGUCUAGUUUUUUUGCGACACUUUGUAUAAUAUAUGAAUUGAAAGAUAUAGGAAAGUACAGAAGAACUUAUGUUGCUGAGGGAACUAUUCCGGAAGGACGGUGGGUUGAAUUUCUCCUGUAUAUCAGGUUUUUGCUCCCACUAGAUUCUCCUGUACUAGAGGGAUAACUAGAAAACUGAACAACACAGAAGAACAAACAGUGUGGGAAUAUGGUAACAUGUCUUCCUUUCAUGGUGAUUUGUCUUCCUUUUAGGAUCUCCCUAAACAAAUAAACAGGCCUAGGUAGGAAGGCUAAGAACCUUUCCUUCCCUCCCACAAUUGCUUAAAGGAAGUGAUGCAUGAAUACAUUGAAAACCAUGAUGUGAUGUAAAAUACAUUUAAACUAAGGGUAGAUACGAUAUUGCCAGGGAGGAAAUCAGUCUGUUGCUUCCUUUUCUUCCUUGGUGGAUGUGAUGUUGAACUUGCAGCAGGGAGGCAUUACUAAAUGUGAAGGCCUAACUGUGGGUGAGAUCAAAAGUGUGGAGAAGGGGAUUACUAUAUGAGACAUAUUAUAUAUAUAUAUAUAUAUAUAUAUAUAUAAAUAAGAGGGAGAUUAAAGGGUUUGAUCCUCUGUUGGUCUGGGCUGUGUGUUUGUGAUAAAUGUAUAGUAUUGUGUUGUUGCCUUCUAAUACAUACCUUUUAAUGUACACAAACCUUGUGUAAUAUAUAUAUAUAUAUAUAUAUAUAUUUUUUUUUUUUCAUUUGGUAAUACACUACAGCAAGUAGUAGUGGGAGUGUUAAGAGUACAAUUGAUGGGAUUUUUUGGCCUGAUGUGUUGACAUAUUACCAUCCAAUCAUCCUUAGGUAAGCCUCCUGAGUCAAACCUCUUACAGAUGCAGGAGUUCUGCAAGAAAUAUGAUUCAUGAGUGUUUCCAGUGAACGCAGCAUAAACAUUCUGUUUGCUUAUGGAAUUAUCACAAACAACUUUCACAUAGAAAGAGUACAAGUGCUUGUGAAUCCUAUAUAAUGUUUCCUGAUUGUGUGGUGGCCUAAAAGAGCCACAUGAGUUCUUUCUAUGGAUUUCAAGACAUUGUGCCAUUCUCCCCUUCUGUAGAAACCUCUCUUCUCAAUAUAUAUAAGUAUGCAUUUGUUGAGGGAAAGGAAAUGAACAUCUGUUCGUAGCCAUUUGUAAAUUUCAAUUGGUUUGAGUACUUUGGAUCAAUAUAUCACCUUAGGAACAUCUAUAGUAAGUUGCUAACUUUGCACAUACCAUGUACCCCACAGUUUCCCAUUGACCUUUUCUGGGAGAACCAUUCCCCAUAUGGUAGCAAUUUUAAGAUAUCACAUAUGUAAAUAGUUUUGUUCUAAGGUAGUUCUAUUUCUUUUUCUUUUAUUUAAUUCCUUUUUCACCAAAGUAAACCUUAUGUUAAUGUUACUACACUACAUUGCGGGUCCCAGCACUAUGCGCACUGUUUUGAGUCUAACAUUCAGUGCAUAUUACUUAAUGGCCUAGUCAAUUACAUACUAUACUUACUCUACACAUAAUGGCAGUAGUAGCAUUUAAUUAAAAUGGUUAAAUACACAACAUAAUCUAAAUUUGCUAUAUGUUGACCUAAAAAAAUAGGAAUGUGACAUUUUGUGCCUCCAGGAGACGCUCUUUAUAAAUAUUCCACCCUGUAUAUUUUUGCCCUCUCCUUACUCUACUCAAGGCCAUUCAGUGACCCAUACUAAAUCUAGAGGACUAUCAAUUCAAUUACCAAAAAUAUGUGUCCUUUCACCUUCUCCCCAGGGGCAUAUCUUUAAUAAUGGUCUGUGUUAUAAACUAAAUCCCAUAAGUGUUGGUUAAUGCGUACUUGCUCUUACUCAGACCAAAGAUGCUUUGUGGAUGUUAUGAAAAUCAUAAGUGAUGUAUGUAAGGGCUCCCUAGUGCUCUGUGAGGACUUUAACUAUAUCACAGACCCUGAAAGAGAUUCUCCAGCUAAACGUACUGCUUCCGGACUGAAUAUUUUAUAAAGUUCAUGCAAAUCCAUCCUCAAACUUUUAAAUUUUCUAUUAUUUUCUAUUAUCAUCAUCUAUUAUCAUCAUUAUUUUCUAUCAUCAUCAUUUUCUAUUAUUCAUUUUAUUCAUUAGCACACAACUCCUAAUCUCACAUUAACAAAUGUUACCUUACGUCAGAGGAUGUUACCAAGGUAUUAGAAUGCAACAGAGAACAAAUUAACUGAUCUGACCAGGCCCCUGUCACCCUAGUUUUGAGGGUCAAAUGUACCUUCAAGGGUAAAGGUUUGUGGAAACUGAACAACACACUGCAUAAUGAUGACUCAUUGUCAGCCACAUUAGGAAACAAUCAGCUUCUUAUUUCCUAUGGAAUAACACGCCUAAAAUAUCUUCUGGUUUACUCACAAACCAGUGAUACGUAUUAUAUCCAUCUAUAGGGUGACCUUUUGCAAAAAACAUAGAUGUACCAAAUUAUUUUUAGUGUCUUUAUAAGAAAAUAGAAUUGUAGAUGGUCAUUAAAAGACUUGGGAUAAUUUAUUUUUCAUUUUCGCUUUAUCAUAUCUACAAGCUAUGAAAUACUCAUAAAUGGUAUAUUGUCACAUUGUUUUCCUUUAUUAAUAGAGAGCUGAUUGUCUCUCUAUAAAUAAAUGAUUUGGUAUUAGAGACUCUAGCAUAUAUAUUUUUCUAUAGUAUGUUUUGAGAUUUUGUAGUUGUUACGUAACUCUUUUUAGUCUUUUUACAUCCAGCUGAGACGUUUUAAUUUGCAUUUUGCAUGAAAUGAGUUGGAAGUAAUGCUUAUCACCUAUUGUUACUCCCAGGGGGACAUUAAAAGUCUCAUUUAACCGUAAUGGCGAGUUGCAGUUGGUAGGAUAUUUGGGAAUGGAUUUGGAAACAGCUUGCUGAUGUUACUAUAAACCCUUAUAAUGAGUAGCAACUGUCUGUUAAAUCAGCAACAUUUAAAAACGAGCUUACAGUCUGUUUCUAAAUUGUAGAACUAUUUAUUGACUAUAAAAAAUGAAAACUAAUUUCAAUGAGUUGAUUUUUUAAAAUAGAAACAUUGUGAAAUAUUUAUGUUAGGCUUGGGCUGGACUUAGUAGUAGCCUGCUGUGUUUGAAUUCCACUGAAUUUCUGAAAGUAUCUGCUUGACGAGUUCUCAUUGCGGAGUUCUGUUCAUUAACUUACAGAUGGGGCUUUGUUUUCUGGUGUUACUUUUCAUCACAUUCAAAAGGAUAUUAUGAUAAUAAAGACAAUUACAUUUUGUUAUACAUGCCAGCAUGCAGUGCUUACAACUGCUCUCUUUUUUUAAAGCUUUGUGGGGUUGACCACUCUUCCGAUGAAGAAUAGUGAAUUAUACUUUUCUUCAAUUAUCAUGAAAAGGAAAGGGUGAUUCACUCUCAUUGUGAAGGGCAAAGCAUAUGCCGUUAUUUCUGAUCCAGUCACAGAAGAGGCUUCUGAUCCCUUCUCAUCCACUUCAAUUACAGCCCUCUGUGUCACCUAAAAAUGAAAAGAUAUACCAUAAGAUGAACAGGUAGAAUAUAAGACCAUAUUCUCUCUGAAGUAAACAUCCCAAAGUCCCAACUUUUAACAGAGAAAAACAAUCAAAACAAUUACUCCACUCCAAAAGUUCAGCAGUUUUCCUUUCAGAAUUAUAGAUGUAGUGAAUGAACAUGAAAUCUUGAUUUUAAUAAUAACAGGAGGCGAAUAUUUAGCAUUCACUUUUUUUACUGAACUGCAUAGCAGCAAAGAAAAACAAAGAAAAAACUGACCAGUCAUCAACAAGUAAAGGUAAAAAGAGAAUGCUUAUAAGUAGCCAUGUUUUCCUCCCAGUAUGGAAUAGGUGGCGGUUCACAACUUCUGAGAAGGCUGCGUGUGAAGGGGCCCGAUGGUCAGAAGUGUUGCCGACUAGCCCUACUAAAAACACCUCUCGAGGUGUUGCCAUGAAACACUUUCACAUGCAUGAUUGGGCACAAAUGGUGAAGUGUGAGAUCCCAGAUCCACUGCCAGAGGUUCUGCGCAAUAGGUGCCUGUGUUCGGUUCGCAAACUGAUGUUUGACGAUCAAGCAAGUAGAGAAGGGUAAGUUUUCAGCAUUGCUGAGCGUUUGGAGUUGGCCCAUGAAUGGUCAAAAGCAACAAAUUGCACGUUUUCAAGAUUUAGCGGAGAACGACAUACGCGUGUCUUUAGCCGGCGUCGAACUACGGUAAUGCCCGUGUGAUGGGUGAUGCUGUGGAAAUUGGGAAAAAAGGCCCUAAACCCCCCGUCAGAACCAGGAAACAAGGUAGGUGGGAGAAGGAAGGAAUGGGGGGCUCCCCACUAGGACAGAGCCCAGGGUUUGAAAUCAGAGGGGAGCUAUGAAGCAAACCCAAACUUAAGGUAAGAGCAGAAAAAUCGAAACAUAAAUACAGACAAUAUACAAAGAAAAUAGAUUUAGCAGAAAACAAAGAAAGAGGAAGUACUACAGUUACACACACCUCUUAUUAACUUUACUUGUUGAUGAUGAUUAGUCAGAUUUAAAAAAAUUCUUUGCUGCUAUGGAGUUCAGUGAAGAAAGUUAAUGCAAAAUAUGAAGCCUCCUGUCAUGUUUAAAACAUGACACUGCCAUCAGGGAAUAGCUUUGCUCUGUCCAUAAUAUGUGAUUCUUUCUAUCCUCUUUUCUCACAGUUUAUGACUGCCCUACCCAGAGCAUGAGUCACAUACCCAUAUGAUGUCACAGGUUUUAAAAAUAAAAAUGCAAUGUUUACAUUGCAGUGCUAAGACAGCCCCUAGUGGCUGUCUACCAGACAGCCAAUAGCGGCGCUUCUGGGAGUUUACCGGACUCUGGGUCUCUUAAACGACGCUGCACACUCGGCAAUGCUUUCCUAUGGGGAGGGCCUAAUGUGCUGCGCAUGCACAUUAGGCCCUCUUCCCUGUCGGAUGAUGUCGGAGAAGCGGAGCACCAACACAGCCCUGAGGGACUUUGGUGCUGAAAUCAGGUGAGUAAAUAAAGUGUUUUUUAACGCUUUACCUGCUGGAGGGUAAUCCAAGGGGGAUGACCAGAGGGCACAAUAAUGUUAGGAAUACAACAUUGCAUUCCUAACACUAGAGAGUUCCUUUAAGGCCUCCCUCAUGGUCCCCUGGAACUUCUCCAUGACUCAGAGUGCCACAGCCAGCACUCUCAAUCAUUAACUGUGUGCUGGGAGCUCUUUAAGUUGACUGCACCUGAUAUUGGUGAAGACCACAAUGCUCCCCCACUGGACAACCAGGGAUGCAAUCCCAAUUAAAUGACCCAUACGCACCUGGCCACCCAUCUGAUCUAAAAGAAAAUGUGAUUCACCAGACCAGGCAAGUCUCUAUUCAAGGUACUUUCAGUGCUCGAUAGGGAUCAUCAAGGAAAACUGUGAUGCACUGUGUGUUCGGACAUCUUUCUAUCAGUGCCAGCAUUAAAACAUUAAGCAAAUUGAACUACAGUAACUCUUCUGUGUAAUCGAACCAGACAGGCUAGCCUUCGCUCCCCAUGUGCAUCUAUGAGCGAGUUAACCAGCUGUUCUACCUUGCACUACUUUUGGUAGGUACUAACCACUGCAUACCGGGAACACCCCACAAGACUUGCCAUUUUAGGGAUUUCUCUGACCCAGUGGUUUAGCAAUCACCCAGGACAUACUUUAAAACAAGAGAAAUCUCAAUGUAUCUUUCCUGGUAAAAUAUUUUAUAAAUAAAUAUUUUAUAAAUAAAUAAUCUUUUCCCUUGCUCAUUUUUUCUGUUUCCAACACAUGAAACUCAAGAACUGAAUGUUCACUUGCUGCCUAAUAUAUAUCGCACCCUUUGACAGGUGCCAUGGAAAUUAUAUAAUCAAUGUUAUUCACUGCAACUGUCAGUAGUUUUUAUUUUUUUAUUUUAUUUGUAUUUUAUUAGAGUUUGAUCACUUAAAUACAUCUGUGUCACAGUAAUUUAACGUACAAAACAUCUUGUAUGGACAUGCGUAUCAUAUUUCAACAGUCGACAUUAUUGAGAACUGAAUUUAUAUCAUAGGGACAGAAGGUAUGUUCAACAAUCUAGGGUACUACAUAUUUCAUGCACCCUAUACUGCUGGGCUGAUUGGGUACAUAGACACCUUGGCAUCUGUUCUAACCUCACUGUCUUCAUCUAGUAGGCACUGAACAGUCGACCGUGGCCUACUUUUUGUCUUCGUUAAGUGUCCAUACAGUAGUCGUACGCUAGGUGCAGUUUGUCAAUCACACUUUCACUAACAUUAGUCUUGGGAUAUUGUCUGUCAACUGGGCGUAUUUGCGCCUUAAUGUCAGUCUCUGUAGAACCUCUGGCUGCUAUGGGUACCCAUACCGUAAUAACCUCUGCCGUGGGAUGCCCCUACAUCUCUUAAUGGACACUGGGCUUUAACAUGUUGCUCACAGAGUAACUGAUGGUCUGGAGACAUGUAAACAAUAAUAAACAUGCUGACGAGCAAGAAAAACAAAGUGUGAUUGAACCACUGGACUGGAUGUAUGUAUGGGCAUAUGGGGUGCUGUCCAGAGGAUGGAGGAGAGUAAUAGUGGGUGUGAAUAAGGAGUGUAAGCUAGUGUAUGUGUGUGUGCAUUCAAGGAAGCGUGAUUAUGGGCCAUAUGUAGGUCUUGUAGGUGCGUGGUGUUAUGUGUAGUCACUACUCAAGGUGCUGUCCAGAGGAUGGAGGAGAGUAAUAGUGGGUGUGAAUAAGGAGUGUAAGCUAGUGUAUGUGUGUGUGCAUUCAAGGAAGCGUGAUUAUGGGCCAUAUGUAGGUCUUGUCGGUGCUAGCUCCCUGUGCCUGCUCCACCCUGUUCUCCCCUCUCCUGUCCCUGGCUAUGUCCCUAGUGUGUAGGGUGGCGUUAUAGCUUUAGGAAUGUCUCUUUAACUGUCAGUAGUUUUAAUGUUGUGACUGUGAUGUAGUGAUUGUUAUCAGUGUAUGUAUUAUAUGUAAAGUGCUUAAAAUGUGUGAAUUAUUUAUGAGCUUAAAUAGUGCAAACCGUGCUUAGCUCAAAAAGUGGCUGUGCUAAAUAAUUGAAACUCACAAAUACAAAUAAGUUGAAAAUUAUAUGAAUUAAUAACAAUGAAGGAUAAUACAAUUAAUAUAAAAAAUAGAGUAUGUAUCUCACACCUUGACAGGUGCCAUUGAAAUUAUAUAAUCAAUGUUAUUCACUGCAACUGUAAGUGGUUUUAAUGUUGUGGCUGUGAUGUUGUGAUUGUGAUCAGUGUAUGUAUUAUAUGUAAAGUGCUUAAGAUGUGUUAAAUAUGUAUGAGCUUAAAUAAAACCGUGCUUAGUUCAAAAAGUGGCUGUGCUAAAUAAUUGAAAUUCACAAAUACAAAUUAGUUGAAAAUUAUAUGAAUUAAUAACAUUGAACAAAAAAUAACAAUGAAGGAUAAUACAAUUAAUAUAAAAAACAGAGUACAGUGGGACUUUGGUUUACAAACGCCUCAGUUAACAUAAUUUUCGGUUUACAAAUGAAAAUCCAUUGAAAAUAAUGUCUCGGUUUACAAAAAAAAUUCGCAAUACAAAGCAAGUUUACCCAGGAUGCAUUGCACCUGGGAGGUCUAUAGCAUCGCCCCCUGCAUGCUGGAGCCUGUGGGUAGCACGUGGCAUCGAGUGUGGAGAUGUCCGAGCGGCUUUUGCAUCGAGUUUUGGAGCCAUUCUGGAAAUUUGCAGUUGUUUGGGGACUUUUUGGUGCAUUUCUCAAGCUGUGGAAUGGUAGGGAGCUGAGCUUCGUCGUUUGCAUGCCUUUUAUAUUGUGUUCUGCAUUGUGGGUUGGUUUCCAUGCCAGCUCAUUUUGACUUUUUUCUGACCUCCAGAACGGAUUAAUUGGUUUUCAAUGCAUUCCUAUGGGACACCGCAUUUCGGUUUACAAAUUUUUCGCAAUAAGAAACAUCCAUUACAUUCGUAAACCUAGGUCCCACUGUAUACUAGAAGAGUCUUUUCGAGGUACAUACCUCUGUGGCAAAUGUGAGUGAGUGGCUACUAUGGAAUCUCAUAUUGGAGGUUUAAAGAAAGAAAAUUGAAACACUGAGGCAGAUUGAGAAGCUUGAAAAUGGCUUACUGCUCAGUAAGCAGAGUUUUCUGGGAGGAGAUGAGCAAGUUGGAGUACAGGCAGAUUCAGGGGCAGCUACAGAACCUAAUUUCAGGAUGGUGCACUAGUAUAUUAUUUAAAAAAACAAUCCAGGCACAGUAACCACCACAGCCAUAUAAGACUUGAGGGGGUACAUGUUUGUUUUAUGUAUGUUUUGGCGUGUCAUAAAAAAUGUUAUGUACCUGAGAGAUAAUUUAAUUAUUAGUUUUUUUUACAGGUAAUUAUCUCUCAGCAUCACGGUUCC